CUUUCUGGAAGCUUGUAGAACUUUUUCUUUGUACUUGACAUUCUUAGAUAUUAUAAUAUGUAGGGAUUAAUUUGAGGGAAGAGGGCAUCAUCUUUGUUGGAACCAGAAAUCUUCCUACACAGGUUGAGUACAUGAAAUUGGACAGUGUCUAGACCUAGGAACUCAUUGAAAGCUGCUAAAU